rnacentral:rRNA from 1 species
AUACGGGGGGGGCAAGCGUUGUUCGGAUUUACUGGGCGUAAAGAGCUCGUAGGCGGCUUGUUUAGUCGGACGUGAAAUCCCUCGGCUCAACUGAGGAACUGCGUCCGAUACUGGCAGGCUUGAAUCCGGGAGAGGGAUGCGGAAUUCCAGGUGUAGCGGUGAAAUGCGUAGAUAUCUGGAGGAACACCGGUGGCGAAGGCGGCAUCCUGGACCGGUAUUGACGCUGAGGAGCGAAAGCCAGGGUAGCAAACGGGAUUAGAAACCCCAGUAGUCC